rnacentral:tRNA from 1 species
GGAGCUGUAACUCAGUGGUAGAGUGUUGGCCUUGCCAAUGUGAGGCACUGGGUUUGAUCCUCAGCACCA